GCUCGCGUAGCUUAACUAAAGCAUAACACUGAAGCUG
rnacentral:tRNA from 1 species